rnacentral:rRNA from 1 species
AGAACGAACGCUGGCGGCGUGGAUAAGACAUGCAAGUCGAACGGAAUUAUUUGGUAGUAAUAUUAAAUAAUUCAGUGGCGAACGGGUGCGUAACACGUGGAUAACAUUCCGAAAAGCGAGGAAUAGCCCAGGGAAACUUGGAUUAAUACCUCAUGUGGUCGUAAGACUAAAGGCGCAAGCCACUUUUCGAUUGGUCCGCGGCCUAUCAGCUAGUUGGCGGGGUAAAAGCCCACCAAGGCGACGACGGGUAGCUGGUCUUAGAGGACGACCAGCCACACUGGAACUGAGACACGGUCCAGACACCUACGGGUGGCAGCAGUCGAGAAUCUUUCACAAUGGGGGCAACCCUGAUGGAGCGACGCCGCGUGGAGGAUAAGGUCUUCGGAUUGUAAACUCCUGUCAUGCGAGAACAAAGCCCGCGAGGGUCUGAUAGUAUCGCAAGAGGAAGAGACGGCUAACUCUGUGCCAGCAGCCGC